rnacentral:tmRNA from 1 species
AAUCUUGAUUUUCCAGUCGUUUGCCCUAUAAUGAAUAGUGCCGGGGUAACCCGGCUAAGAUGCUAAACUCUUUGUGGAAUAGGCGUUGUGGACCCGGGGGCAGUACCCGGCGGCUCCACCAGAAUCCCCGGCGAUGAUGGUUCGGGCAUUCAGGCGGGGCCGAAACAGGAUUGACGCGCGCGGUAAAGGCAAAGCCUGUAUCCGUUAUGGUACGGUCGUUAUCCGGCCAGGCAAUUAAAUGCCAACGAUAACUUCAAGUUCGCAAACGCAGUAGCUGCUAACGACAAUGGUCGUUUCGCUAUCGCUGCCUAAUCGGGCAAGUUUGCACGAAGUCAAAUCCCUUGCUGACUAACUAUCGGUAAGGUGGGGCGCGGGCCGGCCUAGCAACAGAACCGGCCCAUU